rnacentral:lncRNA from 1 species
CACAGGCAUGAUUUGACAGGAUAAUGCCCUCACUUGAUAAAAGGAGAGACUCUCUGUCAGCUGCCCGCAUCCUCCCUGAAGCUCUGGAAUCUGACUUCAUGGAGCAUUUGAGCAGCUAAGCUUUUCCUGACCCCCUCCCUCCCACCACCACUCCCGCCUUCCCCCAGUUGCUGAGCAUAAUUGAGAAUUAAUUGCAUGUCUGCUUAUUAUUUUGCUUACUUAAUUUGGUCUAAACGUUGUUCACACUCCAGACUUAAGGCCUGGAAGUGGCUGUCUUCAGGGACCAUUUCUGAGCUCAGCAAACCUUCCCAGCAGGACCUGAUCUCUCCAAGACAGGCGCUCCAGUGGAUCUGAGUUAGAUCGGUGUAUAGAUCAGAGUUCCUAAGAAGCAAUGGACAAAGACCCAGAGUCUGUGCUGGGGGCCUUGGAAGGCUCUAAACCCUGAGCAGCAGUUUACAGAAGAGGCGAACAAUAUGGAUAUGGAGACAAUCUCUUAGGAGACUUGGGAGUGCUCUCCUGUAGGAUCCAAGACUUCUCAUCUUUCCGAUGCGAACUGAAUUAUGCUAGCAUGUCAACCAGGACAUUUCAGAGAAGCAUCGAACAGAAACGUGUUAGUAAACCUCUUACCAGAACACCCUCACUAUCGAUUUUUUUUUGUCACUAAAACACAAACCAGCAUGGGACAUUAAACAGGACCUUUGGUAUUUGGUGUUGGGAAAAUGCCCCCUUGGAUCUAGAGCUCUUUAGGAGUAAUGGCUUCCCGAAAAGAACUAUAGAGAAAAAGAAGGCAGAAUAACCCAGGUGCCUGAGCAUCUUUGAGGAGAGGUUGUCUGUACAGGUGUAUGAGGAAAAGAAAAUCUUAUUUAUGAAUGGAGUGUGGUGAUACACCCUAUCCCGAGCUUUUGUCCCCACCAGCAAGAACAUGCUCAGGACAACCGGAAUCUUCUGCGGCAAAAGCUUUAUUGCUUACUUCUUUAGGAACAAGAGGAGAAGAAUAGGGGCGAAUGGCAAAACCCUGUCCCUUUUAUGGAGGAUUGUCCUCCGCCUCGGACAUGUCGCUCCCUGAUUGGCUGCAGCCCAUCAACCGAGUUGUCGUCAAGGGGAAGGCAGAGCACAUGGAGUGGAGAACUACCCCGGCACAUGCGCAGAUUAUUUGUUUACUACUUAGAACACAGGAUGUCGGCGCCAUCUUGUAAUGGUGAAUGUGAGGGUGGCUCCUCACAACAUCCCUUUAAUCCCAGUACUGAAGGCAGAGGCAGGUGGAUUUCUGAGUCUGAAGACAGCCUGGUAUAGAGAGCUAGUUCCAGGGCUAUACAAGAAGACUCUGUCUUGCAAAAAAUGAAACAAAACAAAAUAAAACAAAUGAAUAAACAAAAAGAAAGAA